UACAGAGGUGGCAAGCGUUGUUCGGAAUUACUGGGCGUAAAGGGCGCGUAGGCGGUUUCGUAAGUCCUGUGUGAAAUCCCCCGGCUCAACUGGGGAACUGCACAGGAAACUGCGAGGCUUGAGUUCGGGAGAGGGAAGCGGAAUUCCGGGUGUAGCGGUGAAAUGCGUAGAUAUCGGGAGGAACACCAAUGGCGAAGGCAGCUCGCUGGGACGUUACUGACGCUGAGACGCGAAAGCGUGGGGAGCAAACAGG
rnacentral:rRNA from 1 species